UUUGCCAACAUGGACUUUUGGAUUACAACUGGAAUCUAACCUUUCCUGAUGGACUAUGGACUAUGGAGUCACAGGAUAUGUAAGAAAGACAACGCCUAUGCAUAAUUCUAGCUUAAUGAACAGCAACAGAUCAACACAGAGCAGGAUCAGAGAAAAUAUGGCAACUGCAUGGAGCUGUGGCAUUGUUGCUUCACACACAGAGAUCUGAAAGCAAUCUGCAAAACCAGAAACCUGCUACAAAACACAGAAUAAAUCCACACAAUGCAACCAAUGCAACCAGAAAAGGCAUCUUGUGAAUUUCCCAUUUGGACAACAGCAGUAAAACAGUUACUCAUCUUAUGGCAGGCCCAAGAGACUCAGCAUGCUUUCCAUAAGAAGAGAACUCAUCCAAAAUGAAACUAGAAGCAGAAGAUAAAUGAAUCGCUAGUGCUAAACCUUCUGGAACUUUUUGGGGAGACAAGUCGGAGGAAAAAUAAUUGCAGAACUGCAAUCAACUGCAUGGAAAAAAUAGGUUUAAAAUUAUUCAGAAGAGAAACAGCUUCACCUUGAAUUUCUGUUCUCUGUAGGGCAUUCCUUAUGCUUGCGUUGGUAUUUCCCCCAGAAGUGUGCAGGUAAAGCCAGACUUGGAAAACAAGCAUCUACCUCUAUCAGAAACACAAUUUAAAAAAAAAAAAGAACCAAUAUUGUAAAUGAAUCCAAAACUAAGAAACAAUGGACAGAAACAUGUAUUGAAAAGUAGGGGAAUGGGUAUUAAAGACUGCUUAUUUAAGAAUUGAAGUUAUUAAACAAAAGUUUUAAUAAUUUGUGAUUGAAGGGGGUGUUGUUGUUAUGUACCACCAAGUUGCCUCUGACUUAUGACAAUCCUUUGAAUGCACGAUCUCCAAAAUGUCUGGUCUUCAAUAGCGCUGAUCAGCUCUUGUUAACUCAAGGCACUGGCUUUUUUAGGGAGUCAGUCAUCUUGUAUUUGGUCUUCCUGCUGCCAUCAGCCUUU